UACAGAGGUCCCAAGCGUUGUUCGGAUUCAUUGGGCGUAAAGAGCGUGUAGGCGGCCAUACAGGUCCGUUGUGAAAACUCGAGGCUUAACCUCGAGACGUCGAUGGAAACCGUAUGGCUAGAGUCCGGAAGAGGAGAGUGGAAUUCCUGGUGUAGCGGUGAAAUGCGCAGAUAUCAGGAAGAACACCCGUGGCGAAGGCGGCUCUCUGGGACGGUACUGACGCUGAGACGCGAAAGCGUGGGGAGCGAACAGG
rnacentral:rRNA from 1 species